rnacentral:lncRNA from 10 species
CGACGGCCGCGUGCCCGGAGCGCCGGGGUCUUUCCUGGGCUCCAAAGUCAAGAGCUCACGUUCCGGGAGGAUCUGUCCGCGGAAAUUCGGUUCUGAGCGUCGCCGGACUCCGCCGCGGGGAGGCGGAAAAGCGGACGUAAGUGCUGCCGAGGAGAUGGAGGCGUUGGACCCCCUCGCGCAUUGUCGGGGCGGGUGCAGCCGCGGUGCAAAAGGACCUUCCUCAGAAAGUUGAGCACGAAGUUCCCACAGGCCCGGAAGUUCCCCUCCCGGGCGCUCCCCAGAGAGCUGAAGACUGGGCGCGUGCCGGCGGCAAAUGUUCACAGCAAAGGGCGGCCCAGUGCGCAGCUGGAACAUCAGCCCCAGGCGGUCGCUGCGACAGGGACGAGCCUGGGAAACGUGAAAAUGUCCAGAACAGGGAAUCCACAGAUAAAGAAAAGACAUCGUGGUUGCCAGAGCUCGCGGGAGGGGGCAACAGGGACCGACUGCUUAACGUGUAUGGUUCCCCUUCAGGAAUAAAUAGGUCAAGCUGGCUGCAGGGCCCACCCCACCGCGGCCUGGAGCAGGGUCUUCUGGGGUGUACCACCUCUGCCCUCACCCAGGCUCCACCACGACCAGCUUCGUCCACCCCCCAGGAGACCAUGAAGGCCCACGUCUGAAAUCCUCACUAAGCCCACCCUCCCAUCUCCCUGAACUACGGAUAACUACCUACAAGUUUUCUGAUUUAUUCAUUAGUGGAUUUGUUCGUGAUCAGCCCCACACCUGUUAGAAUGGAAGCUGCAGGCAGCAGGAACCAGUGUGGCCAAGUCGGAGGGCAGCACAAGCCGGUCCUCCUCGUGGACAGCAGAUUGAGGUUCAGAGAAGUCAGAAGCCUUCCCAAGGCUGCACAGCCAGAAGUGGGCACAGCGUCCUGGGGGUCUGGGCAAGGGUCCCUCUGGGCUGCUGUCCAUGCUGUGAGUGUCCGUGCUGUGGGCCACUGCCGUGGGUGUCCGUGCUGUGGCCUGCUGUCGUGGGUGUCCGUGCUGUGGCCCGGUAUGUGAGGUUGUGUUUCCAACAGGGAGUAAUUUGGCUUUGGUUACCUGAGGGUCUGAGGACAGGCACUAAAGCCCCACCUUUCUGGCUUCCAGAGUUGCCGGCUCCAGCAGCAGCCUCCAGGCCUGAGCAGGCUCUGGGGCUCCCACACCUGGGGGGCCAGGGUGGGGGUGACAAAGGGCCCCAGGCGACGGCUGAGAGCCGGCCCUGAGCCGGCCAGGGCGGGCAGCAGAACAGCCA